GUCCACGCCGUAAACGAUGGAAGCUAGCCGUUGGUGGGUUUACUCAUCAGUGGCGCAGCUAACGCAUUAAGCUUCCCGCCUGGGGAGUACGGUCGCAAGAUUAAAACUCAAAGGAAUUGACGGGUGCCCGCACAAGCGGUGGAGCAUGUGGUUCAAUUCGAAGCAACGCGAAGAACCUUACCAGCCUUUGACAUGCCUCGUAUGGUCGCCAGAGAUGGCUUCCUUCCCGCAAGGGGCGAGUGCACAGGUGCUGCAUGGCUGUCGU
rnacentral:rRNA from 1 species